rnacentral:rRNA from 1 species
GCAUAUCAAUAAGCGGAGGAAAAGAAACCAACAGGGAUUGCCCUAGUAACGGCGAGUGAAGCGGCAACAGCUCAAAUUUGAAAUCUGGCUUUCGGGCCCGAGUUGUAAUUUGUAGAGGAUGAUUUUGAUGCGGUGCCUUCCGAGUUCCCUGGAACGGGACGCCAUAGAGGGUGAGAGCCCCGUCUGGUUGGAUGCCAAAUCUCUGUAAAUCUCCUUCGACGAGUCGAGUAGUUUGGGAAUGCUGCUCUAAAUGGGAGGUAUAUGUCUUCUAAAGCUAAAUACCGGCCAGAGACCGAUAGCGCACAAGUAGAGUGAUCGAAAGAUGAAAAGCACUUUGAAAAGAGAGUUAAAAAGUACGUGAAAUUGUUGAAAGGGAAGCGUUUAUGACCAGACUUGGGCUUGGUUAAUCAUCUGGGGUUCUCUCCAGUGCACUUUUCCAGUCCAGGCCAGCAUCAGUUUUCGCCGGGGGAUAAAGGCUUCGGGAAUGUGGCUCCCCUCGGGGAGUGUUAUAGCCCGUUGUGUAAUACCCUGGUGGGGACUGAGGUUCGCGCUUCUGCAAGGAUGCUGGCGUAAUGGUCAUCAACGACCCGUCUUGAAACACGGACCAAGGAGUCGUCUUCGUAUGCGAGUGUUCGGGUGUCAAACCCCUACGCGUAAUGAAAGUGAACGCAGGUGAGAGCUUCGGCGCAUCAUCGACCGAUCCUGAUGUUCUCGGAUGGAUUUGAGUAAGAGCAUACGGGGCCGGACCCGAAAGAAGGUGAACUAUGCCUGUGUAGGGUGAAGCCAGAGGAAACUCUGGUGGAGGCUCGCAGCGGUUCUGACGUGCAAAUCGAUCGUCAAACAUGG